GUUGGGCUCCGGGACAGAGGCUACUGCCCAUAAGCCCUGCCAGGCUGGGUGCUCUGGAGGGUGAUGGGCCUCAGGGGCCUUUGGGGGAAGUCCCCAUGGGGCUGCUGCUCUCAAAUGCAGAUGAACACAACCCUGGACUCUUUUUCAGACCACAGACCACCACAUCAGUGCCUGCAUGGUGAUGGUGAGGAGGGCCUUUGGAAGGUUUCCAUCCAACACUUCUUGCCUAUUGUGACCGGGGCAGUGUGGUCAUGAAUCGUGAUAACUUCUAAGACAGGGCUUGCUAGCUCCAUUACGCAGAUGCAGAAACGGAGCCUCCAUGGAAGUGACUUGUCCAAGGUCUAAGAUCCAAGCUGAUAAUGAAACUGAGGCUCACAGAGGACAAAUAAUUUCCUUGAGGUUUCAUGGAGACUAGAACCCAGAGAGUCUAUCUUCAAAACGGUUUUCCUGGUGUGCUCUCCUGGAAGUGACAAAGUCAGUCUGACCUUGAGGGAGAAGGCCAGAGACUGAUCCUUAACAAAUUCCAGAAUUCCAAAAACUGAAUGCUCCAGCAGGAUUUUCUUUUUUGGGGCAAACGCUCUGAUUAUCCAUCAUUACAUAAAGAUACCCCACGAAAGAGUUUGGCUGAGGACUCGGUGUGGUGUGUGGAAGUGCCCAGGUGAGGAUGUUGCACAAG